rnacentral:tRNA from 1 species
GCGAAUGUGGGGUAACGGUCGCCUGCGGGCCUUCCAAGCCUUGAGGUGCGGGUUCGAGUCCCGCCAUUCGCUCCA